CCCUUAGAUGUUCUGGGCGGCCCGCGCACUACACUGGCACUCUCAAUCAGAGCCUGGAUCUAACACUUUGGGGUAUUCUAUGAAGUGGUGUCGUGACUGGGAUUAACCCUUGCAAUUAUUGGUUACGAACGAGGAAUUCCUUGUAAUCGCGGUUUAUCAGCCCGCGUUGAAUGCGUCCCUGCCCUUUGUACACACCGCCCGUCGCUCCUACCGAUUGAGUGGUCCGGUGAGGCUUUGGGAUCUGAGCGGAAAGAGCGUUUCGCUGUUUCUGCUCGGAAAACUCAGUCGAACCUUAUCAUUUAGAGGAAGGAGAAGUCGUAACA
rnacentral:rRNA from 1 species